CCCACGGGUCACCAUCUUUAUCGCCCCGCUGGGUUAUCGCCCCGCUGGGUCACAAGCCUACGCUACGAAGUCCGGCGAUCCCUUGCAAUGGGUAGUGCAAUAUAAAGUGCAAUAUAUUUGUAGACUUUUUCCGGUGUGGGAUAUUGGAAAAAUCUACACCUUACAGGUUCGGCAAUUCGAUGAGAAAGAGAGAACUUACGACUGAAAGUGAUGCAAAUGGUGAAGGCGAGGUUGGUGAAGAGCACGAUUCGUCACCAGAUAGUGAUAUUACUGAUUAAGGACCCAAACAGAAAACAUGAUUCUUUCUACACGGGAUCCGACAGAUUCAAACCCGGAUUCCAAAUUCCUCCCACUUUGAAUUCAACGACGGACUUCGUUUCCAGUUUUGAUGGGCUAAUCAUUUUCACAAAAAUAACAAAAUAAAUUUGGAGAUGAAGGGAAGCCAAGGAAGAAGAAGAAAGAUGGGGAUGAAAUGCGACAGUGGUCGAGGAAAUGAAGAAUUGGGCCUUUUGUUUCAAACGCCCGUUUAGCUUAGCAGGAAAAAAAAAAAAAAAAAAAAAAAAAAAAAAAAAACACGCUGGCAGCUGUGCAGUGUAAGGCCUCUGUGCAUGGUUCUGGAAAAAGGCUUCGUCAAUUGCUCAUUUCGGUCAAUCCUCUUCCUUAUUCUUCUUCUUUUCUCUAUUCCUAAUUUGAUUCUCCGGAGUAAUAAUGUUUGGUUCCUUUGAAAUAUGAUGGAUUUUAAGAUUCAAUAAACGGGAAGAUGAACUUCCAUCGUUGAGAGAAUACAAUGAUUAUUUGGAGGAAGUGGAGGACACGAUUAAGUACAUUAUUCCUGAAAUCCCAUAUGUAAAGUGUUUAUUGUGACCAUAAGAAAACCGUGAAGCAAAAAAACUGCAAAUUACUAGAAAGAAAAUUCAGAACAAAUACUGUGAGUCUGUGAUAAAGAGUAGCGCCCUUAGUGGGCAAGCCCCUCAUCCUUUGGCCUGGUAUUACUCCUGGCGUUUUGGCUGGAUUGAUUGGUACUAAAAAAAAUAAAACUCAGUCCCUUCUACUCGUCCCAGCAAGUGUUUUGAGGGUAGUCAUCCAUCUCUUUAAAAAGCAUCUAGGGUGCGGUAGUUUAAGUAUGUAAAGAAGAGCUGGAAACUAUCCGAGACUUGUACGCUGGAUUUACUCGUGGAACUACAAAGACUGAGCUCAAGUACAUUUUCUUCUGCUGUGUAUAAUUUUCAUUAGUUCUAACAAAUACUGAUAACUAGAGCUCAGAAGGUACACUUGUAAAUAUAUUCUGUUUUCUGCACUUGUGAGGAAGGUGAAAAAAGUGAUUUGCCACAUUGCUGUGAUAUGGGGAAAGUUAAAUGUUCAUAAAUCAUAAAGGAGAUGGCUUUCUGUUUCUUAU